UAAAAUGGGAGGCACUUGUCA
rnacentral:siRNA from 1 species